UAUAUAUAUAUGUAAGGCAGUAGCCUGGCAAUGUAUAAGACAGUACCUCUUUAUGAGCACUGGAGGUCGCUAUUCUGUUGAUUUUUACCUGUGGGUUCAGCACACCUCACCUUUUUGUCCCUCAGUGGACACCAUAGUCUAGGCGCCAUCUUUGAAAAUGUUCUUCUUUUCCACUGAAAAGCUUAAUGACCAGAGCCAGAGAGGACCACUACUGUGAGCAAAUAAAUGCAACAAGGUCUCAUCCACAAUCCAGAA